UACGUAGGGUGCAAGCGUUAAUCGGAAUUACUGGGCGUAAAGCGUGCGCAGGCGGUUUGGUAAGACAGAUGUGAAAUCCCCGGGCUCAACCUGGGAAUUGCAUUUGUGACUGCCCGGCUAGAGUGUGGUCAGAGGGGGGUAGAAUUCCACGUGUAGCAGUGAAAUGCGUAGAUAUGUGGAGGAAUACCGAUGGCGAAGGCAGCCCCCCUGGGAUAACACUGACGCUCAUGCACGAAAGCGUGGGGAGCAAACAGG
rnacentral:rRNA from 1 species